GCCAGCGUGGUGUAGUGGUUUGAGCAUUGGAUUACAACUCUGGAGAUCAGGGUUUGAAUCCCAGCUCAGCCA